ensembl:snoRNA
UGUCCCCCUUUCACUUUGCCAAAUGGACUGAUGUCUUUAUUGGUCAUUCAAGUGGGGCAAAGGAAAUGUUCUCUUAAAACUCAGGCAGAUUGGGGCCGGGGAUGUGGCU